rnacentral:rRNA from 1 species
UUCUAUGGCCAUGGCACCCUGAACAAGCCUGAUCCUGUCUGAUCUCGGAACCUAAGCAGGGUUGGGCCUGGUUAGUACUUGGAUGGGAGACCACCUAGGAAGACCAGGUGCUGUAGGUG